CACAAGCGUACAACUACAGCAAAGGUCAGGCCCACACGUUUAUUGCACAUCUUAGGAAAAUGGCCUUUUCACUCUAUCGUUGCAGAAGUAGCCCAUCACCAGCACAGAUCUUGGAGCUAGUAGUUUAAAAGGAUUUCUUUUUCAAAGUAAACUGGAAGAAGCCUGCUGUGGGAAUAGCAGCUGCUGGCGGGACAGCAAGUCUUGCACUGGAGCAGUUGCUCGAGACAAACCCAGAGGAGACUCUGGAAUGACUGAGAAGCCAAAGGCUAGGGGGAGCUUUACAAGAGUUGUGCUCAAAGCAUGUGGGGGGAGUGCUCCACUGCCUUCCUAUUCAGCCCCUUGCUAAUAAGCCAGGACCAGGGAGGGAAGAUCUGGGCCAUCUGGAGGAAUCCCACUGGACAGAGAGGGACCAGGGCAGGAAAAACCAUCUCCUA